CGCCGCGCCGGGCAAGCUGUUGGCGCCGGAAGCGGUUCCGGCCCGACUCACGACCCCGCGGGACCCGGCCGGAACCCGGCCCGACCCCGGCGCGCGCGCGGCGGAGGACGAGGAAGAGUUGUGGCGAGGCAGAUCCUGCCCCGCGGCCGCGAUCGUCUCGUAGGUUGGCCCCAGGAGGCUCCUGGGAACGCCUGUCAGUGCGAUGCCGUCCCAUGUGAUGCUCACCUUCCGGCGCCUGGGCUGUGCCUUGGCCUCCUGCCGGCUGGCUCCUGCGAGACACAGAGGAAGUGGUCUUCUGCACACAGCCCCGGUGGCCCGCUCGGACAGGAGUGCCCCGGUGUUCACCCGUGCCCUGGCCUUUGGGGACAGAAUCGCCCUGGUUGACCAGCACGGCCGCCACACGUACAGGGAGCUUUAUUCCCGCAGCCUUCGCCUGUCCCAGGAGAUCUGCAGGCUCUGCGGGUGUGUCGGCGGGGACCUCCGGGAGGAGAGGGUCUCCUUCCUGUGUGCUAACGACGUCUCCUACGUCGUGGCCCAGUGGGCCUCGUGGAUGAGCGGCGGCGUGGCAGUCCCCCUCUACAGGAAGCACCCCGCGGCCCAGCUGGAGUAUGUCAUCUGCGACUCCCAGAGCUCUGUGGUCCUUGCCAGCCAGGAGUACCUGGAGCUCCUGAGCCCGGUGGUCAGGAAGCUGGGGGUCCCGCUGCUGCCGCUCACACCAGCCAUCUACACUGGAGCAGUAGAGGAACCGGCAGAGGUCCCGGUCCCAGAGCAGGGGUGGAGGGACAAGGGUGCCAUGAUCAUCUACACCAGUGGGACCACGGGGAGGCCCAAGGGCGUGCUGAGCACGCACCAAAACAUCAGGGCUGUGGUGACCGGUCUGGUCCACAAGUGGGCAUGGACCAAAGACGACGUGAUCCUCCACGUGCUCCCGCUGCACCACGUCCAUGGUGUGGUCAACGCGCUGCUCUGUCCUCUCUGGGUGGGAGCCACCUGUGUGAUGAUGCCUGAGUUCAGCGCUCAGCAGGUUUGGGAAAAGUUCUUAAGUUCUGAAACGCCGCGGAUCAAUGUCUUUAUGGCAGUGCCCACAAUAUACACCAAGCUGAUGGAGUACUACGACAGGCAUUUUACCCAGCCACACGCCCAGGAUUUCUUGCGUGCAGUUUGUGAAGAAAAAAUUAGGCUCAUGGUCUCAGGCUCAGCCGCCUUGCCCCUCCCAGUGCUGGAGAAGUGGAAGAACAUCACAGGCCACACCCUGCUGGAGCGGUAUGGCAUGACCGAGAUCGGCAUGGCUCUGUCCGGGCCCCUGACCACCGCCGCGCGCCUGCCAGGUUCCGUGGGGACCCCGCUGCCUGGAGUACAGGUGCGCAUUGUCUCAGAAAACCCACAGAAGGACGGCUGCUCCUACACCAUCCACGCAGAGGGAGAUGAGAGGGGGACCAAGGUGACCCCAGGGCUUGAAGAAAAGGAGGGGGAGCUGCUCGUGAGGGGACCCUCUGUGUUUCCAGAAUACUGGAAUAAACCAGAAGAAACAAAGAGGGCAUUCACCCUGGAUGGCUGGUUUAAGACAGGUGCCAAGCUGACUGAUGGGCCAUGCUGAGGAGGGGUGGCCCCAGCCCUCCUGCAAGAUGCCCUUCUGUGCAACCUGCAGGGCCACCAGGCCCAUGAGACGGGCAUGGCCUUCAGAUGUAUCUUAGCCUGGGUUCCCUAGAAAACACAUGAGGACUCUGGGCACAGGAGUCGGGAAAGUCUUGGUUUUCUUGGUCUCCUGGUGCCAAUUCCUCAUGGGCUGGGCUCGUCUCCCCAUGGCGCCUCCUUCCCCGUCACCACCACCCCUUCCCUCCUGCCGGGUCAGGACUUCUGCUCCCAGCCCACAGCAUCUUCCUCUUCCCUCUUCCGCCCCCAGCUUGGGGACUGCUUUCCCCUGGGGCUUCCUGAGGCGGGUGUGUAGGGUCCGUACUUGGAGACUUGCGUGUCUGCCCGGUUCUUUGUUCUGCCCUCAGCCUUGCUUGCUGGUUUGGCUGGGUAUGGGGUUCAGAGUUAGAAGUCGCUUCUCUAUCAUUUUCUGGCUUUCAGAUUUGCUGGUGCCACAGCCGUGCUGAAUCCUGGCACUUGGUGACCCCCUUUUUUUUUUUUUUUUUUUUUUUGAGACAGUCUUGCUCUGUCGCCAGACUGGAGUGCAGUGGCGCCAUCUUGGCUCACUGCAACCUACACCUCCCAGGUUCAACCAAUUCUCCUGCUUCAGCCUCCCGAGAGUAGCGGGGAUUACAGGCGCCCAACACCACGCCUGGCUAAUUUUUGUAUUUUUAGUAGAGACGGGUUUCACCAUGUUGACCAGGAUGGUCUUGAUCUCCUGACCUCGUGAUCUCCCCACCUCGGCCUCCCAAAGUGCUGGAAUUACAGGCGUGAGCCAAUGCGCCCAGCCAUGACCCCCUCUUUUUAACGUACAGGGUCUCCUCUGUCCCCAGACCCCUGAGCCCAGGUCAGGGAGUUGGGUCUCAGGCCAUCACUGGGAGUCCCUCUGCCUUCGAGAAGCCUCUUCCACCCUUGGCCCACAGAGGAGACCUGGAUGGUACUGGGGUCCAGGUGCAGAAGCCUCCAGUGUCCACGGGCACCUGAGCUUCCAGCACCUUCCCUCCUGCUGGGCGGUGGCCUGUGCCUGGCCGCAAUGGAGGCCGCCUGCCCCGCUGCCCGUCUGAGCCUCAGUCUGUCCUCCCUGCUGCCACCUCCCCUGGCCAGGUGCCCAGGGGCAACUGGUGGACCCUUUCAUGUGACUUGGUUUCCAGCUGCCUCUCUAUACACACACACGGGGGCACCUGUUUCAGGCUUGAAGGCUGGGGACUUGGGGGCAGAGGGCAGAGGUCUUGGGGGCAGAGAUCUCACAGCAGCGGCUUGGGCAGGGGCCUUGGGCAGGGUCUUGGGCUUCCCUCGGCAUUUUCCUCAAGGACCAGGGGCCAAGCUUCACAUUCUGUUGCUGGCAUCAGUGCCAUUUGGGAGCAAAAGUCCGACAGGCUGGGUCUGGGCCUCUCUUCACUUUGUUUCCUGGGAUCGGGCUUUGGGGGCUGGUGUCACUCCAGAUCCAGGCUUGGGAACCGGAUCUGCACAGCAGAACAGGCGCUGUUCUUAUCUUGCGUGCGGGUCAGGACACCUCCCCGGCCAGGAGUGCUUCCUCCGAGGCCCACAGACAAGGUCUCGCUGGGGGACUGGAGACCGCAGCGCCUCACCCCACCCACACUCCAGAGAAUUCGAAUCUGAGUAUUGGAAGAUUUAUUUUCAAUUACAGUGGAAGGCAGAGACAUGAAAUAGCACCAAAUUCAAAAGCAGCUCAUAAAUCCAGGUAAUAGGAGUUUAUUGAUCGCUACAUUGUAUCUGUCAGAACAAAACUGCUUUAAUGCAAACAUCAGGCCGAGGAGAUACACAGCCCAUUGGCAGCCGACUCCGAUUCCAGAAUCCAUGCAUUUUGAUAAAUAGAUUGUUAUAAAAAGUAAAGGUUAUUUAACUUGUUUGACGUGCAUUUCACAAUGAUUGCAAGUUGCCCUGGAGCCCUCUGAACCUUCUGAGUCACCCUCGCUGCCGCAGGACCUCCUCCCGUGGUGUCCGACCCGCUCUUGCUUGGCUGAGACUUUGUUUAAACCCUGGCUCCGAUGCCCCUGAGCCCUUGAUAGCAGCGUCCCAGCCUGGAAGAACAAAACCAGCCACUCUUCCCCUUGGCAAAGGCACAGCAAGGCGGGUGAGGCGGGCGAGGCGGGCGCUGAGUACUCCGGGAAUGGGCAGGGAGAUGUCGACCCUCGGAGCUGAGGCUGCUCUGCGCUGAGAAGCUAGAACAAAGCCUGACAUGUUCCAAGGGGCAAGCUCAGGGCUGGGAGGGAAGCAGCGGGGCGGCCCCUUUGGGUGGGGGUGCCCAGGCCUUGCAGACAAGACACUAGCCAGAGGAGGUGGACCAGGGGCACGGGAGCAGAGGGGCCAUGUGUGUGCAGCAGGAGGGACCCUGAAGGGCCCCGGCCUAGAGGGGGCCUUUGCGAGGAAGAUGCCAGGAACGUCCAGGCCAAGGUGUCUGGGCAAAGGCAUCCAGGCCCGGGAGACGCAUGUGGGACUUGGGCUUUCCUCUGUGAGCAGUGGGAAGUCUCUCCCUACACCUGGAAGGAGCUCCAGGCAGCAGUGAGAAUGGGGAUUCUGACACUGGAGUGGGGAGCCGGCCCUGUGGUGCUGGCUGGGCCAAGAGCGGCACCACCCUCUGAUGCCCGGGGUGGGAAGGACACACGACUGCCACCAUCCGCUGAGGGCCCUGCACACCACACACGUGCUCUGAGCACUGAGGGUCCCCUCAUGCCACGCAGGCGUUCUGGGCACAGAAGCACCUCUCAGAAUCGUCCCCGAGACAGGCAUCCAUCACAGAGAGACAGGUCUCAGUCCUGCACUGAUUGGCUUCGCUCAGUGCUGCCGGAGGAGUCUCAGACACAGCCUUUUUCCGACAGGUAUAGCUGCCACUUUGUGCAGCACAGAAGCCUGGGGCCCUGAGAAUGGCAGCAUGCUCCACACUGACCCCUACAGUUCUUCCUCCGCAUGGCUCAGUGGAAGCCGCGCUUGCAGCACCGCAGGCAGCUGGGGCCUGUGACGACCCUGGAGUUGGAGGCCAGGCAGGGCUAGCACUGAGAAGCGGGGAUUUGGGGACUGGGGCCCAGGGAAUGGACGACUCCCCAGGCUGCCCCCACCAGUCCUCCCUGAGCACUGGCUCCGAGAGAAGCAUCUUGGGGCAGAGGCAGCCAGGCCCAGGAAGGGAGAGACCCCUGAACAAGGCCUGCAUCAGGGUCUUGGGGCCUGACCAUGCCAGAAACAGCCCAGAGCCAGAGAGGAUGGGCAGAUACUCAGUGCCACCACUCCUGGGAGAUCUCAGCACCAGGGCUUCGACCCCUGGGGAUACACACCCACACCUGCUGAGACACACCCAUACCUGCUGAGAUAUAACACACCUGCAGAGACACACCCACACCUGCAGAGACACACCCACACCUGCAGAAACACAGCCACACCUGCAGAGAGACAGCCACACCUGCAGAAACACAGCCACACCUGCAGACACACCCACACCUGCAGAGACACCCACACCAGACACACCCACACCUACAGAGACACCCACACUUGUAGAGACACACCCACACCUGCAGACACACCCACACCUGUAGAGACACACCCACACCUGCAGAGACACACACCUGCAGACACACCCACACCUGCAGACAUCCACCACCCAUACCUGCAGAGACACCCACACCUGCAGACACACCUACAUCUGCUGAGAUAUAACACAUCUGCAAAGACACAGCCACACCUGCAGACACACCCACACCUGCAGAGACACCCACACCUACAGAGACACCCACACCAGACACACCCACACCUACAGAGACACCCACACUUGUAAAGACACACUCACACCUGCAGACACACCCACACCUGCAGAAACACAGCCACACCUGCAGACAUAUCCACACCUGCAGAGACACAGCCACACCUGCAGACACACCCACACCUGCAGAGACACCCACACCAGACACACCCACACCUGCAGAGACACCCACACUUGUAGAGACACACCCACACCUGCAGAGACACACCCACACCUGCAGAGACACACCCACACCUGCAGACAUCCACCACCCAUACCUGCAGAGACACCCACACCUGCAGACACACCUACAUCUGCUGAGAUAUAACACAUCUGCAAAGACACAGCCACACCUGCAGAGACACAGCCACACCUGCUGAGAUAUAACACAUCUGCAGAGACACAGCCACACCUGCAGACACACCCACACUUGUAGAGACACACCCACACCUGCAGAGACACACCCACACCUGCAGACACACCCACACCUGCAGAAACACAGCCACACCUGCAGACACACCCACACCUAAGGAGACGUGGGGGUCUCGCAGUGGGCGGAGAGGUCGGGUCUUGCAUCUAAUCAGCCAUUGAUGGGCCUUUCCUGUGUUUGUAGCACUCAUUCCUUGUAUUCAUAAACUAAGUUCAUGUGAAUUUGUUCUUUAACAAGUUAUUGCACGAUCAUAAUCCAUUGCCGACGUUGGCGUGACUCAUCAUGUGAUGAGCCCACUCAGGGGGCUGGUGCUACUGGAGAUUGGGAAGAAAAUUGCUCCAUAAACCAAAAA